AUGCUUGCAUUUGCUUCGGAAAUGGCAUCGUCAAGCAAAUCGUUGCCGUAUGCGUCAAGAAGAUUACCCCUUGUUACUGGCCUCCAAUGGGUGGAAGAGAAGGAGCAGGAUCCAAAAGCAUUCUACGCUAUGUUUAGAAUGAGGAGGUCAGUGUUUUACCCAUUGCAUGAUCUCUUGGUCGAGAACUAUGGGCUUCAGUCAACUUGCAACAUAUUAUCCAAAGAAGCGUUGACGCUUUUUCUAUGGACUUUGGGGACAACGCAGACCACUGACAAUGUGGCAGAUCGGUUUGCACAUAGUCGUUCUAUCACCAACAAAAAAUUCCAUGAGGUUUUGGAGUGUGUAGACCGCAUGGCCGGUGACUACAUUAGGCCAAUGGAUCCAUCUUUCUCUGAACCUCAUCCCAUACUUAGGAAAACAAGGUUCUAG
rnacentral:rRNA from 1 species